GAUGAACGCUGGCGGCGUGCCUAAUACAUGCAAGUCGAGCGAACAGACGAGGAGCUUGCUCCUCUGACGUUAGCGGCGGACGGGUGAGUAACACGUGGAUAACCUACCUAUAAGACUGGGAUAACUUCGGGAAACCGGCGCUAAUACCGGAUAAUAUAUUGAACCGCAUGGUUCAAUAGUGAAAGACGGUUUUGCUGUCACUUAUAGAUGGAUCCGCGCCGCAUUAGCUAGUUGGUAAGGUAACGGCUUACCAAGGCAACGAUGCGUAGCCGACCUGAGAGGGUGAUCGGCCACACUGGAACUGAGACACGGUCCAGACUCCUACGGGAGGCAGCAGUAGGGAAUCUUCCGCAAUGGGCGAAAGCCUGACGGAGCAACGCCGCGUGAGUGAUGAAGGUCUUCGGAUCGUAAAACUCUGUUAUUAGGGGAGAACAAAUGUGUAAGUAACUAUGCACGUCUUGACGGUACCUAAUCAGAAAGCCACGGCUAACUACGUG
rnacentral:rRNA from 1 species